UCGGGAAUUUUGGGCAAUGGGGGAAACCCUGACCCAGCAACGCCGCGUGAAGGAUGAAGUAUUUCGGUAUGUAAACUUCGAAAGAAUAGGAAGAAUAAAUGACGGUACUAUUUAUAAGGUCCGGCUAACUACGUGCCAGCAGCCGCGGUAAUACGUAGGGACCAAGCGUUGUUCGGAUUUACUGGGCGUAAAGGGCGCGUAGGCGGCAUGACAAGUCACUUGUGAAAUCUCUGGGCUUAACCCAGAACGGCCAAGUGAUACUGUCGCGCUAGAGUGCAGAAGGGGCAAUCGGAAUUCUUGGUGUAGCGGUGAAAUGCGUAGAUAUCAAGAGGAACACCUGAGGCGAAGGCGGCCACCUGGUUGGAUACUGACGCUGAGACGCGAAAGCGUGGGGAGCAAACAGGAUUAGAUACCCUGGUAGUCCCUGAGCGGGCUGGCAAGGCGCAU
rnacentral:rRNA from 1 species